rnacentral:rRNA from 1 species
UGAACGACUCUCGAUAAUGGAUAUCUCGGCUCUCACAUCGAUGAAGAAUGUAGUGAAAUGCGAUAUUUGGUGUGAAUUGCAGAAUCCUAUGAACCAUUGAGUCUUUGAACGCAAGUUGUGCCCGAAGUCGUCAGGCCGAGGGCAUGUUUGCCUGGGCGUCUCAC